UCCCUGGUGGCUCAGAGAGUGAAGCACCUGCCUGCAAUGUGGGAGACCUGGGUUCAAUCCCUAGGCCGGGAA
rnacentral:tRNA from 1 species